rnacentral:rRNA from 1 species
UACGUAGGGGGCUAGCGUUAUCCGGAAUUACUGGGCGUAAAGGGUGCGUAGGUGGUUUCUUAAGUCAGAGGUGAAAGGCUACGGCUCAACCGUAGUAAGCCUUUGAAACUGGGAAACUUGAGUGCAGGAGAGGAGAGUGGAAUUCCUAGUGUAGCGGUGAAAUGCGUAGAUAUUAGGAGGAACACCAGUUGCGAAGGCGGCUCUCUGGACUGCAACUGACACUGAGGCACGAAAGCGUGGGGAGCAAACAGGAUUAGAUACCCUGGUAGUCCCUGA